GAGAGAGUUCAAGAGUACGUGAAACCGUUCAGGGGUAAACCUGAGAAACCCAAAAGAUCGAAUGGGGAGAUUCAUCGCCAGUGACGUUGGCUCUCGCUCGGAAUUGCAGGAUCUGGCUUCGGUUAGUGUUCUGCGUCUGUAGCGUUGUGUCCGGCGUCGUCGGCGUGCACUUCUCCCCUAGUAGGACGUCGCGACCCGUUGGGUGCCGGCCUACGGCCUAGUAGGUUGACUGAUGCGUCGCGUUCGCGCGUUCCCGCGUCAGACACCGCUGGAUGCCCGGCCGGCUGCCCGGCGGUAUAGAAUGCUUUAACACGGUAAUGAGCCGCACUCUAAGUGCGUCCGGCUCGUCGGCAGGCUCGCAUCGUGCGGAUUUACGGACCUGGUGCCGUUGCCGUUACGCUGUGUGGCUGUUAGUCGACGAUGUCCUCGGACUGGCUCGACACAUUCGAAAGGAUAUACCGGUCAGCGACGCUACUGCUUUGGGUACUUUCAGGACCCGUCUUGAAACACGGACCAAGGAGUCUAACAUGUGCGCGAGUCAUUGGGACACGUUAAGCCUAAAGGCGCAAUGAAAGUGAAGGUCGUGCUUAGUCUCGGCCGAGGGAGGAUGGCUUGCGUUACGAUGCGAGUCCGCACUCCCGGGGCGUCUCGAGCUCAUUACGAGCAGA
rnacentral:rRNA from 1 species